rnacentral:rRNA from 1 species
GACGGAAGGUGCAAGCGUUGCUCGGAAUUACUGGGCGUAAAGCGUGCGCAGGCGGUUAUGCAAGACAGAUGUGAAAUCCCCGGGCUUAACCUGGGAACCGCAUUUGUGACUGCAUAGCUGGAGUACGGCAGAGGGGGAUGGAAUUCCGCGUGUAGCAGUGAAAUGCGUAGAUAUGCGGAGGAACACCGAUGGCGAAGGCAGUCCCCUGGGCCUGUACUGACGCUCAUGCACGAAAGCGUGGGGAGCAAACAGG